AAUAGAUACCCCGGUAGUCCACGCCGUAAACGAUGAGUGCUAAGUGUUAGAGGGUUUCCGCCCUUUAGUGCUGCAGCUAACGCAUUAAGCACUCCGCCUGGGGAGUACGGCCGCAAGGCUGAAACUCAAAGGAAUUGACGGGGGCCCGCACAAGCGGUGGAGCAUGUGGUUUAAUUCGAAGCAACGCGAAGAACCUUACCAGGUCUUGACAUCCUCUGCCAACCCUAGAGAUAGGGCGUUCCCCUUCGGGAGACAGAGUGACAGGUGGUGCAUGGUUGUCGUCAGCUCGUGUCGUGAGAUGUUGGGUUAAGUCCCGCAACGAGCGCAACCCUUGAUCUUAGUUGCCAGCAUUCAGUUGGGCACUCUAAGGUGACUGCCGGUGACAAACCGGAGGAAGGUGGGGAUGACGUCAAAUCAUCAUGCCCCUUAUGACCUGGGCUACACACGUGCUACAAUGGAUGGUACAAAGAGCUGCAAACCCGCGAGGGUAAGCCAAUCUCAUAAAAGCCAUUCUCAGUUCGGAUUGU
rnacentral:rRNA from 1 species